AUGAUAAUUGUGGAGAUGAAAAGGCACUCAGGGUACACCCAUUUCUAUCACAUCACACAAAUGUUGAUAUAUUCAUACUUGUGUUUCAAGUUUAACUGCUGAAAAUGAAAUGUAAAGUUUUCAAACGAUUGAGGUUAAUGAUAGUGUUUUUAAUGCUCUAUGUGACUUAUAAUUUUGUUUCAGUCACCACUAAGCUUAUGGUAGUACGUCCGUCUGUUAAUACAGAAGGGGCCAAUGACAAUGCACAAACUUACACCACACGAAAGAUCUACGGAAUUCCUGAAUUCCCCGUAUUUUCUGUUAUUGCAGUCAAUUCAUCGGCAGGAAAGGAAUGGGACAUAUUUGCAGUCAAUGCGUGGAUUAAUCAAACGGCUGCCAAGGAUGUUCAAUUCUGUUGUUAUUUAAUGGGCGGUGGGAAAAUAAUAACACUACGGUCUUUGAGAAUCAACCAACGGAUUGAAAUGUUUAACUUGACAGCGCAAGUUGAAUGUCCAAACCCAAGUACUAUUCUGAAAAAGCGAUCCAGUCAUUCCCAUUUGGUAGGCCUAACUAUUAGUAGAACGGGUGUGUGUAUUUCUGGAAAUGAUUUUGUGAAACCUUACUAUCCUUUAAAACAGACAAAUAAAUUCAGUUUUGCUAUAUGUGGGAAGUUAAUUUAUGGUGAUAUAAAUAUUCCCUUGACCUUAGAAUGGAUGGAAUAUAAUAGAUAUAUGGGUGUGAGCAAAGUGGUCUUGUACGAGUACAAUAUAUCGUCAGAGGUUUCAAAAAUACUCAAGUAUUACCAAUCAACGGGGUUUGUGGAUGUCAUCCCGUUCAGCUUGCCCCGUACGCAGAUACAGUUGCACACCGGCCUGGCAUGAAGACUGUACAAGCAUGGAACGAUGAACAGAUUCUUGUUUACGAUUGCCAAAGCCGGCUGCGUGGUUACAAAUAUGUCGGUGUCAUCGACAUGGAUGAAUUCAUCGUACCGGUUACAGACAGAAAUUUUGAAAACAUGCUGGGACGGUUGAUCUACGUUCUCCCGAACAUGGCUGCUGCUGAAGUUUACGGCGAGAUGUUUAUUUUAGACUGGAAGAAGACGAAUAAAGCAGGCAAGCUAAUCAUAGAGCAGUAUGAAAAUAGGACGGUGUCUAAGGCCCCUAUUGACAUUAAUCAAAGAAAACUGAUCCACCUUCCUUCCAGGGUACAGAGAGGAAGCGUCGUCACACAUGGGUGCAAAGCUCUAAACUCCACGUAUGCCAUAUUUAAGGACCCUUUAUCAGUAAUGAGCAUAAAUCAUUAUCGUAAGUGCGUGUAUUUUCGGGACGAUUGCUUUACACGUGCACAAGUUACAGACAAGAGGAUUUCAAGGUUCUUGAAAAAGGUCGAAAUUGCUGUCCAUAAAACAAAACAAAUAUUGAAUAUGCCUAUCUAGUGACGUCUGUACUUUAAUCAAUAGGGUUUACGUCGUAUCGGAUCUUCAUUCUCCCACGUGUUCUCUCAUUUGUUAAAUAAACGAGCUUAAAGUUUAAACGUGUGUUUGUUUUCUUGGGUUUAACGAAAAGGAAAGAGGGUGUAGACCGAUUUGUGACGAAACGCCGCCAGACUUGAAGACACUGACACUUUAGCGGGGCGUCGCGCAGUAAACGAACCUAGUUUCGUUUUCUCUGUGAAUCAUUUGCCAUAAACACAUGAAAAUUAACAUGAAACCUGUCUUAUUAUACUGAAAAUACAUCCUGCGUAUGAAAACCCCCAAUUUUACAAGCAAAAAGUGCCAAUAAAAUGAAAAAUUGAGGGUUCUUUAUGGGUACUUCUUUCGACUACAUUUCGACCGACUUGCGGUGAAUUGCUAACCCCCAUUAGAAAAUAUAGCCGAAAACACGCGUAAAUUCGAUAAGACACUGCAAACCGAGCGAAAAAAAGGCAAGAAAACGUAGGAUCAAAUGCUGGUGUCAGACAGAACUUUGUGUCAGUAAGAACUUUCCCUGCGAAUCAUGUGAUGUCAGACUGAACAUUUGUGGUCUACCGAUCCGACUUGAACACCUCGUAUUCGGAAGUAAUGGAGAUUUCGCCGGGAUAUUUGGUAUAGAAAAAGAGAUAGAAUGUUGGACAUUUUAUUGUGGGUAAUGCCAAGCUUUUGCUUCAGAAAUGAUAAAAAAAUCCUCGGUUCAAUAUCCAAAACAAUUAGCCAUCUGUGUGGUUAUUUGGAUGUCUUUUUAAUUCAGAAAACAUUCCUUUAGGUGCCUUUUCUAUCCUCGAAGGCAUCUGUUUUUAUUGAUUCACAUUGUGUGUAGACAAAAUUGAAAAUACUUAUUGCAAAACAAAAAUAGUGUCACGUUGUCCGAUCCGGUGUCAUGGUGUCUUGUGGUGUCGCGUUAUCACGUUAUAGAGUGUGAUAUACUGUACAUUACAUAUUCUACAUGUUAUUAAAUACAUGUAUAUAACAUUGUAACUAGUACAGUCUACACUUUGCUUCAGUUUGUAAGAAGUACAAUGUUGUGAACUGCUAAAAGUGUCACUUUCACAAAUUGUUAAACAAUGUAUACAUCGUGGUCUUUUACAUUUACUAGACCUGAAAUAUGUAUAUGUAUUAGUAGACAACUCUUUUGCUUUAACUAAUGUAUCUUUGAGAGGCUUACAUUUAUGCAUUUAUCAUGCGCCGUUUAUUGCAUUUUCUUACAUUUCGUUUGCUAAAUUCAAUGCCUGUUUUAUAGCUUGGCAUAAUGGAAACGUUUCUAUAACCUAAUAUAUGGAAAAAACAUUAAAAUUCUUUACAAAUAAAUGUUUAAUUAGAUCAUGUAUACUUUAGUAAAGUCAGCACAUUCAAUUGUAAGUCGCGCAAUACUUCCUAUCAAGUGUCAUGAAAAUAUGACAAGGCUUUUCAAACAAAUUGUUGUUUUAAAACAUCAAAAUGUACAAACCUGAUCAGGAAAUAUUUGGUACAAGAGACACAAUCAACUCAAGUAAAAGUUUGCGUCCGAAAUUGCUUGAAGUAGAAAUUUGCAACAAAAAAGAUCUUGAACAAGUAUGAAAUCAUUCGUGAAACAUGCAGAACCAAACUUUUAUCAAUUUCUUCACAAAUAGUUGUUUUGUCACGUUUAAGGGCCCCAAAACAGGCUAGUUUGAUCAUAAUAAUUAACAAAUCGACUAGAAACAACGCCGUCAAAAUAUCAAAAAUACGCACAUGACCAUUUUAUACGUUCAAUAACUUUGACAGUUCGAAAUCUACGACGCUGAAACGCACAACCGAGUGUGACGUAGUCAUAGAACUGAUGCAUGCACACAUCCAUAGAGUUCGAAAUACCAUAGAAACCCACUUACCUGAUGGAAAAAACAAGCUUUAGCAAAUAUCAGCCAUUUUGCAAGUUUACAACUAUUUCGCUCGCCUGAAGUAAGUGUGCAACCAUCACGUCCUGCCACUUGCCUUGCAUUAUUUAUAAUGUACAUAUUGGUGAACAUUUGUAGGUUUUACAUAAACAGUAGUUUUAGGUUUUUCUCUUUUAAUAUGUUAUUAGGGGGAAGGAAACAAAACGUUUUUUUCUCAUUAUAACUCUUCAAAAGUUAUCUCUCGUUAUACGAUAUUAUGAUAUUACUAUAUCCGUGCUACAGUUUGAAAAUUUACAUUUACGCUUAAACGGAGAACAAACAUAUUAAAGAAUGAAAUAGAACUACUUGAAUUGCCCUUCACAGUUUUAAUGAACCAUACAUAGUUAUUUGAAAAGAUGGCUUUGUGAAUUGCAAAUAUGAACCAAAAAUGACAGCAUAUUAAAUAUAGAAAAAAUAUGUUUUACAUUUAGCAAAAUCAUUGAACUUCUGCUCUUCUUCAAGCUAUUGGUUACUUCAGAUGUGUCAUGUCUGAUUGUGUAGCGUCAAUGUUCGUGAAUUGUUCAGGCUUGAUUUUCUUUCUUUCUUCACUCUUGUACCAUAACCUUUUAUGAAAAGUAAAAUGUUGGUGUCCUUGUACCCUUUUUAAAAAGAUCCCGCUCCCUGUUAUGAUUUUAUUAUAGGUAAGUCCCGGACUAUAGGGGCCUUCUGUUGUUUGUACUCGGAUAUAAUUUAGGUAGACUUUAAAAAUAGGUGAAGGAAUUAUCAAGGUGGCGCAUCGCGGUUGCGUGUAAAAGUACACAUUUUACUAUAUAAACAAGUCAAUUUUACUAUCGCAACGUCUCCUUCAUAAUAAUACCAUAAAUGACGUCGACGUCAUAGAGGAUAUCACAUGAGUGUCUUUUCAUUUUU
rnacentral:misc_RNA from 1 species